rnacentral:lncRNA from 1 species
GCCACCAUAAUACAUAAUAAUUUAGUUCGCUGCAUCAUUACUUAUAAUCCAUCAAGUUACCUAAUAACAAUAAUAUAACUUAGUGCACCACACCAUUACAUCACGAUUAACUUAGUUCACUGCAUCAUUACACCACGAUUAACUUAGUUCACAGCAUCAUUACACCACGAUAUAACUCAGUCCACAACAUCUACUUGAUCCAUUACAUCACUGACUCGCGAUAUAACUUAGUUCAACUUGGUUUAUAAAGGCACAAGAUUACAGCCUAAAGUCCAUCAAGGACCAGACGACCCUGAAUCCGAACUUCCCAGCACCACACGUAAUUUCCAAUUCAUCUGCACCAGUGCGGCGUGGACUUAAAUCAAAGGUUCGUUCAGCACAAACACCAGCAACCUCAUUAUUUAUGCGAAACAUCACAUUUCUUUCCAGACAGAUAGUAAUGACACUUCGCCGGAGUUUGAUAACUCCACUUUCAUCACUUGUAACCACGCCAUCUGCUGUGCUAUCAUGAAUCACAAUCGUUUGUUCAUUGUCCAGCUUGCGAGCUUUAUCCGCGAUGCCAACUGUUAUAUUUCCUUUCAAAAGCCCCUCAAUGAGCUUGAUUUCAAAGGUGCACUCGACUGCAUUCAGGACAGUUGUGAAUCUCACUUCUGUAGUGCUGAGCCAGCUCUCAAGGGUUUCCCUUCUAACCAUGACAUCUUUCUCUCUAGACAGUACUCGGCCAUCAAUGCUUAUUAGACCCUUGCUAAAUGGCCUGUCUGGAACUCCUUCUUCCCUUAUUUUAAGAUCUAUCUCUAGAUAGAUGAAAUCAACCAGCACUAGACCUCGAUAUGGGCCAGUUAAAAUCAGCAUUCCAUCCUAUGAAAAGAAUUGCACGAGAGAUUAGAGUAUGCUCAUCCAAACACUGCUCAAAAUGAAGAUUGGAAGCAUGCCAUAAAAGCUACUCCAUUUAUAUGCAGAUGACUGUCUGGAUCGACAACCACCAGCACUAAGAUGACUCCAUUUAGAAGCCAAUUAACAGUUGAUAUUAAAUGCAUCACCUGAUAAAACGAAACCCGAUUGGAACAAACUUAGAAGCAAUGAUGUACCUUGUUGAGAUGCUGGCAGUCAUCUCUAUUGCGGUGAAAGAGAUAAAUGCACUUGUAGUCAAUGCUGUCUCUGGCAAUGACACGGCCAUAGACAUUGACUGGGAAGCCUACAUCUGAGGAGACUAUGCUGACAGAGAGGAUGUUUGCAGAGUCUUCUAGCCCAAAUUCAUCUUGGUAGAUACUAUCGGUGUAUCGCAUUGGAGGGACAGACGCUGCAAUGAAUAAGCAAAAUAAAUCUAUCAAAUUAUUUCAUCACAACAAACAGUCCCAGUUUGUGUUUUCCCCAUUUAUAUCCGACUGAGUUAACCACCUAAUAUUCUUACUUGACUUGCGAGUUAACUUGAAGAGAAAGCUAUCAUCUCACCAUUUGAACCAAGUUAAUUUCAAUUUUAGCAAAAUCAGUGAUUCCUGUUGUUAAGUGAUAUACAUAUGAAUCAUAAAUGAACUGAGAUUCGCUGUUAACUUCAAGAGGAAACUAUCACCUCACCAUCUGUAGAAAGUUAAUUUCAGUUUUAGCCAAAUCAGUGAGUUCCUGUUGUUAAUUGAUACAUCUGAAUCCAAUCUAGUAAACGGACUGAGAUUUGCUGUUUACUGCUAUAUAUGCAUCAAUAAUGAACAUGGCAUGUCAGAGGAUUCUCCUAACAGAGGAUUAUGCAGGUGAAACGUACUAAUUCAGUUCCCAUGCAUACUGUCAAUCAGACAAUUCUACAAAUAUAAAGCCAAAAGAGAACAGUACUACACCGGCUUCAGAAACGGAGAGGCCACUUACACUCUUCGUUGAUGUCAAAGACGGAGAAAUCUCUGAGAAAGAAUCGGGUGUAGACGUUGCGCUCGACCUUGGGAUCAUACUCGAUGAUGGAGUCCAUGACCUUCUUGUGUGCCUCGCUUCUCCGCCGGUUCUCCUCCGUCUUCCGCGCCUUCUCCUCUUCCUCCCGCCGGCGCCUCUCCACCUCCUCCUCCGCCCAGGCAUCCCAAUCCUCACUGUCAUAGAAGAAAGGCUCGAAUCCCUCCACCUCCUCCUCCGACUCCAACUCCUCUACAGACGCCAUGAUGAAUGAAUCCCUACUCGCCGCCGCCUCCGAGCAAACCCUAGAGCGCCGCUGUCGACUCGGCCGGCACCUCCUACUCGCCGCUCGCUGCGGCAAGGAGUGGCCCCUUCGCACAGGCCCGGCCCAUUGGUGACGCGAGACGCAGUUUUUUGUUUUGCUUGUUUUCUCAGAUCAGAGUAGGAGACCGAGUUGCGAAAUUGUGAAUAAAUUUUGAGAAUUUCGUCCGUUUUAUAAAAAUGGAAAAAAAAAUCAAAAUAUUUUCAUAAAAUGCGAACAAUUUGUAAAAGGAAAAUCAAAAAACGAACACAUUUGUAAAUGCCAAUUUUUUUCAGUAAACACAAACAUUUUGAAAAUUUCUAACUUUUUCAAAAGCAGGAGACAUUAUGAAAUUCCCAACAUUUUUCGAAAAACACUAAAAACUUUUUGAAAACACGAACAAUUUUUUGGAAAUCCCAAAAUUUGGAAUUCUGAUAGUUUUUUUUAGAAGAAAACAAACAUUUUUUGCAAUCCUGAAAUUUUUUGGAAAUUAAACAUUUUUUGAAGAUUAAAAAAAUGUGAUUUCAUAUUUUAUAAGAUAAUAAAAACGGAAAAGUAAGUAAACUAGACCAGAAACCAGAAACACUUUUUUUGAGACAAUUCCGCGAAGCUUUAUUAAUUCGUCACAAUGUUUACAGGGACGGACAAAAAAUUUCCCGGAUGGCCUAACCAAACAUGACGGCCACCUCCCAAGGUGAGUGCAUGCUUCGCUAAAUUGUGAGCAUCAAAAUGUGAGCUCCUACUUUCAUAGACUAUAUUACAUGAAGUGAAAGAACUAGACAUAUCUCUAAUCUCCUGAACUAUUGCACCAUAGCAAGCCAAGCUCCGCUUCUGGAUGUCUUCCACCACUACUUUGCAAUCGGAAGCCACCUGUAUAUUCUGAGUAUAUAGAUCAUUGGCCAAAGCCAAAGCCUCCCGUAUAGCUAGGGCUUCAAGCGUGGGUGGAUCUGAUAUGAAUCUGAAGACUAGUGUUGAGGCACCCAGGAAUGUACCUCCCUGAUCCCUAGCAAUGAUGCCAAUGGAUCCGACAUCGUGCCUUGAAACAGCGGCGUCAGCGUUGAACUUCGAGAAACCUGCCUCCGGCGGAAUCCAGGGUGACCUGCGUUGUGGAGCGGUGCGAGCAACAGUUGGUGAAGUUUUUGCGUCUAUCUGUUUCAGCUCCAUGAUGUAAGAAUUGAUGAACCCAUGAACUGUCGCUGGUGCUUGGAAGAUGUUUUCAUGGAUGGCCUUCCUUCUCGCUCCCCAGAUUGCCCAUAGGGUUACUACCACUCGCACAAAAUCAUCUUGGGACAUGAUUUUCUGAAACCAGAAACACUUGGGAAGGAAUAAAACCGGUUCCAUUACCUAAUGGAAGAUUCCCAAAUUGGUAAAAACUUGGGCUGGAACCUUCCAGCAGGUUCCAAAAACUAGAACAAGCGGAAACAUUAAAUAGGUCGGCCCAGGUCGGUCGCUCUAUGUGUUGUAUGCCGCUCUUUGCGGCAAGUAGUCGGCCAAUCGCAAAGGAGCGAGGGUAAAACAGGGGAAAAUGGUUUGCGAUUCAUGGGAUUCGAAACCGCGAUGAUAAGAGAAUCAAUACGACUGAUGUGCUCUUGUCUCUGAUAUGCAUCGAGAAACUAAAAGAUAUAUCAAUCUAUCAAAAUUAAAUCUCCUUGAAAAAUCACGAACAAAUUUUGAAGUCAUGAACACAUAAUGAAAUUCCCGCACAUUUUCCAGAAACGGGAACAUUUUUUAAUUUUUGCACAGAAUCUAAAAAAGGGAACAAAUUUUUGACAUAAACAAUUUUUUUAAAGCCCAGACACUUCUAAAACUUUAAGAAUGAAUUUUAAAAUGAAGAGCAAUUUUGAAAUACACGAGAAUAUUAGGAAUUGCCAACAUUCUUUUAAUACGUGAACAAACUUUUGGAAAACCGACACUUUCUGGAAACUUUGAACGUUUUUUUACAAAACACAAACGGUUUUCUGAACUUCAAACAUUUUACUAAAAAUCCGAACAUUUUUCGUUAACACAAAAAAAUUCUGAACUACAACAAAUUUAUGAAAGGAAGAAUUACGAAAUCACGCACAAUUUUUGAAUUUAAGAACAAAUUUUGAAACAGAGAACAAUUUGAAAAACACGAACAACUUUGGAAAUGUGCACAUUUUUUAAUACACGGACAAUUAUUUUUGAAAACCGAAACACUUUCCGAAACUUUGAACAUCUUUUGCAAAAUGCGAAUAAUUUUUUAAAAUACUAAACACUUUUUGAAAUGUUAACAAAUUUGAACUAUUUUGAACAUUUCAAAACAUUUGUAAAAUUCUGAAAUGAAAAAAACGAAGAGAAGUAAAAAUAAAAAAGAAAUAGAAAACGGAAAAGAUGAAAAUAAAACUAGAUAAAGGAAAAGGGAAAAAGAAAAAAGAAAAAAGAAAAGGGAGACAAGAAAAAAAGAAAUAGGAAAAAUAAAACCAAAAACCAAAAAAGAAACAGAAAACAAAAGUUUUUGGAACCUCCUAGAUGGUUCCCAAAACAAGAAAGAAACGGCUAUGAACCACCACAAUGGUUCCAAAAAUCAAAAUCGCUGAAACGUUUCACGUGCCGGCCCACCCCCGAAUGCUCCUCGAUAUCCUUGUGCGGCGCCCCGACGACUGACUUGUCGUAAGGAGCAGCAAAUAGGGUUUUGCAUCGCGGACGCGCUCAAAAUUCUGGGCCGACCCAAUAAAACGCGAUGUGGCUAUUUGCCCCGAUCGCACACUGGUUCGCUCAAAAAAAAUCGCGUACUGGUUUAGAUAAAAAGAAGAUAGGUUCACUCGGUCACGGUUAUCCAGUUUUUUUUUUGAGGGGGGUCACGGUUAUCCAGUUGACGGUUCACUAGUUGACCGGUCAACUAUUGAACUUUAAAGAAAUAAAGAAAACACAGCAAUUUUAAAAAAAAACAUGAAUUCAAAAAAUGUUCAUGUAUUUUAGUAAAAAGUUCACGAGUUUGAGAAAAGGUUCAUCGAUUUUGAAAAAGUUCAUUGAACUCAAAAAAGUUCAAAAUUUUGAAAAAAUGCCACUGAUUUUCAAAGAAAUGUUGAUUGAAUUUGAAAAAACAAAUCGUCAAUUUUCAAAUAAAGUUCAUCGAAAUUUGAAAAAGUUCAUCGGAUUUGCAAAAAGGUUCAUCAAAAUUGAAAAAAUUCAUCGAUUUUUCUAAAAAUUGUUUGUUUGAAAAGGUUCAUCAAAUUUAAAAAGUUGUGCAUUUUCAAAAAUGGAAAAAAUAAGUAAAAAAGAAAAGGGAAAAAGAGUAAAGAAAAGAAACAGAAAAAGAAAAAGAAAAAAACCUAAACGAAAAAAAACCCUGGCUGGGAAGCUUAGCUCCCUCCCGCUAGAACCUAGAUCGACCGCCCAUUUCCGAACGCUUCAGGCGUCAGUUAACGAAAUGCACGUUAACUAGCAUUGAAGGCGUCGAGUAGGGAUUACCUUCGCGUCGACUCCUUUUCCUCUUUGUUUAUUCUAUGUCGCAACUGCUUUUGGCCGGGCCAAGCCCAAGUGACUUAUCAGCCUACGAAGCCCCAAGGCAAAACAAUCUCCCUCGUCUCUAUACUACUUUAAAAACUAGAGAUGAUUAUCCUAGAAAAAAACUAGAGAUGAUACUCUGCACGUAGUUGCGGGAAUUGAUUGCAGUUAUUUCAAUGAUAUUUGGUUGUAUGAAACAUUGGUAUUUGUAUUAAUAGUAUGAUCACUAAAAUAUAUGUAAUUUAUUGAGUUUGAUUAUUGUAUAAUUGUAAAAUAUUUAUUGAAUAAUACUAGCAUGCAUGGUUCAUGUUGCAUGUUAAGAUAGGUCUUCCCAUCCAUGAUGAAUGAUGAGUUGGCAUAGUUGCAUGUUGAGAGUACUAGAGUUCGUUGGGAUUAAUUAUUAGAUUUGGUUAUAUGAAACAUUAGUGUUUGGGUUAGUAGUAUUAUAAUAAAAAAUACAUAAAAAUUAGUGUAUUUUAUUAUUGUAUAGUUGUAGAAUAUUUCUUGAAUAGUAGUAGCACAUAUGAUGAAUGAUGGGUGAUGACUGAUGAGUUGGUUGACGAGUGGAUUUUGUGUCACUUUUUAGAACUCAUUUAUUGCUAUUCAUCAACCAUGCUACCACAGUACCACCAGCGAGUUGGUAGUACUCCAUGUCGUCCACUCUGGACUUGUCUUAUCCAUCGGAUCCAUUAAUUCCUCCUGGAGAAAGUUCUCAAGUCCUUUUGUCUUCAAAAUCAGCAAUGCCUGCUCAAGUAAUUCUUGACACCCUCCAUUUUGAUAUCAUUUGGCACCAACUCUAUUUUCUGUGUCAACUCGGUACGAGAGAUUAUUGCAUUGCUGGAGGAUGCAUCUCUGCCUUUGCGGUGAGAAGUUGAGCCAUUUUUUCAAAAAUUAGUUGAAUCACGUGAUUCACCCACCCCCAUAGUAGUGUAGACUGCAAAACUCACACAACUAGCAAAGCUGCUCCUCUUGCAAUCAGGCUCAGCAACAAUGUUUUCAUUGUAGCACCUUCUCCUCUUGCAGAUUCUUGAGCAGCACUAACUUAAGAGCUAAUUCCGGCAACCCACCUCUUAUCUAGUUCUUGCAGAAGCCACGAGCUAUCGUCCUCUUCACUGCUAGCUUGUUCACCUUUUCUCUGCUCGCACACAUAGCACCCACCAGGCACCUCCAUUGCUUCUCCUUUGUGAGCUACAAGCAGCCAGACUUGAAGGGGCCCUUACCCAGCUAGUUUAGUGUCAAAAACGCUCUUAUAUUAUGGGACAGAGGGAGUACCUUUCACCCUCAUGUUCCAGCGUCGUAGCCUGUAGGUCGUUGUACUCACACGCGCAACCAACCGCAACCUCCACAGCUCCACAACACUUGCAACAGCACCUUCACCUGGACAAUACUCCUCUGCCUGGUACUGUUGUCAUACAUUGAGCUUAUUAUGUGUCUGCACAAUUGUCCACAAGCACUGAAGCUCUACACACCGCCGAUUACCACCGACGAUCCCUACAAUCCUCUCCAUAUCUCACGCUCCGCUCCAAUCCAACCACCGCAACACCCAGGGUUGGGCUUCGGCUUUCUGCAUGACCACAAACCGCCCAACAGCAUGAGGUCGCCGACAUAUCACAACCAGCAGCUAGGGCUCGGUCACCAUCAUCUAAGCUUUGACACCAUGAAGGCUAGUUUGGGGAAACCUCUAGAAUCACUAAUAUGUUCCCUUGGUGCAAACAGAGUACAACAUAUAUGUUCAAACACACNNNNNNNNNNNNNNNNNNNNNNNNNNNNNNNNNNNNNNNNNNNNNNNNNNNNNNNNNNNNNNNNNNNNNNNNNNNNNNNNNNNNNNNNNNNNNNNNNNNNNNNNNNNNNNNNNNNNNNNNNNNNNNNNNNNNNNNNNNNNNNNNNNNNNNNNNNNNNNNNNNNNNNNNNNNNNNNNNNNNNNNNNNNNNNNNNNNNNNNNNNNNNNNNNNNNNNNNNNNNNNNNNNNNNNNNNNNNNNNNNAGGCGAUGGACGUGCGGUGGAAGAGUCUGGCUAUAUUGUAGGGAGCCGUUUGUAAGUUAUUAUGUACUGGCUUUUAGAAACUAGGCAGUACCCCGCACAUGAUGUUGUAGAAAUUGGUGACUAUAUAUUUUGAUGAAAUUGGAACAUGAAUAUUUUAUUACUGUAUAGAUGUAAAAUAUGUAUAGAGUAUAUGUAGUAUAAUAGUUUUCACAAGCAUGGUUGCAUGUUGUUGUAGACUUUUCUCAUGCAUGAUAGCAUGUGAGGUGCCUAUUUUGCCCCUGCAUUGUUGCAUGUGUUAAGGUCGUAUAGUUGAAUGUUGAGAUAAAUAAAUGCAAUGGAGAUCAAUCUCUUAAAUAUAUAGAAAAUCCUUAAGUGGUUUUGAUCGGAGUACUACUACGACUUAUAGGGUGGAGGGGGGGAGGGGGUAGGGACUACUCCCGGUCUCUAUUUCUGGAUUACACAACAGUUUGUACACCAUGAGAAGGAGGUGGGAGCUGCCAAAGGCAGUUGUAUAGCAGGAUCCACUUGAAAGCAGAAGCACUGGGGCGGCAUGCAUGGAUCCCUGUAUACAAUUAAAAAGAGGGCGUCAAUACUCAAUAUACAUACAAUUAAAAAGAGGGCGUCAAUAUACAGCUGACGUUCCCUUGGGGGUAACCCGAGCGAAUGACCGUUCUCCAAACCAGGUAGGAAUUGUAACGCCCUGACCAAACACAUCAGUUCCUAGCCGUUGCGCUUGGGAUCUAAACUGGCCUUACUUAAACACUAGUAUUUCAUGUGCAUUUGUUUCCUCACUCGUGCACGCACUUAACUUGGAUGUUCCUUUCGGAUGGCGCCCUAAAAAGCAGGUGUACCUUGUUGAUAUGAGUAAUAUAUCAUUCUCUUAAGCCUAGAUGUCACACGAACAAGCAAACAUUUUCGUUCAUUGAAAAAACUCUCAGCAAAUGCUCAAAAAAUGUGAUGUUGUAUAAGGAGUUGCCAUGUUGUAAACUAAAAAUUGCCAUUCAGGAUUUGCCAUACUAGCUGAAUGAAAUCGUCAUGCUACAUCAACGGAAAAAGGUGAUAAUUGACAUGCUCUAAAAACAUAAAUUAUUAUCGUCUGUGAAUGUGUUUGCUCAUAUUGACAUCCUGAGCGAACCAAUUAGUGCUUAGUGCCAACACCUCGUAGUUUGCUCAAAGGAUGUAUUUGCAGUGAACAGUUCAGGAUUGGUGCGUGGGACCCGACAUGCACGAGGUCGUUCGCUCGGACUCCUUAAAAAUCUGACAUCAGCCUUCUAACAUUUAGGUAAAAAAAAGAUAGCAGGACCAGACAACUGCUUGGCAAAUGCAUCAAGUACAAAUGAGCAGAAAAAUUGUAUAUAAUGCCUACAAAAAUAGUGAAAAGUUAACAUCAUGUCAGUGCAACAUAAACUAACAUUUAAACAUAAUGCAAGCCCAGAAGCAACCAUGUAAUACUGGUCUCAGGCUUCCCUUCAAGCUCCAUGGAAGAUUCAGAGGUUGGGGUGCGUCGCAUGAUCCUUUUAACUUUUUAUAGUUAGAUUAGACAAUGCUCGAGCGGCUGUCCUAUGUCAUGCUGAGACUGGAAGAAGAAUGCUAGUUCAUAUAAGGACAAUGUAUUGACUGUUUAGGAAAAUUAAGCGCCAUCAUUCAAGAUGAACAUCUCUGCUUUCACUUGGAUAAUGCCUUGACUGAAACCUUCAUUGAUCACCUGUUUCCAAAUUCAGUUGAACAUGUCUCACGAGCAAACAAGUUUCAGACUCAGGGUCAUCGGCAAUGCUAACCAUCAAAGUUUGCUCUGAAGCAUCAAAUCCGUUUUUUUUUUUUUGACCGGCAAUAGCCUGCUUUUUCAUUUAAGAAUCAAGAUGAACACUCAGCCAGCCAUGCUUUGGAGGACGACUAUGAGCAUAAGCUAUACACUACAACCUCAGCGUUUGCACUCACAUCCUCAAAAGAUCGGCAGUUUCUCCCUUUCCAUAGAUUUUACGCAAUGUAAUCAGCAGCAGUGUCUUGCUUCUUCACGACAGCAAACUUGCUCAGGGCGGAAGAUUUGUGCCACCAUACUUUGAUUGUGACAGCACGAAAUCCGACGGUAGCCACCUUAUUGUCAGAGGGACAGAAGAGGUGCCGAGCGAAGGAGCAAUUAAACGUCAGUUGAGUAGCAGAUUCAGGAACCUGAUCACAUAGGACAGAAGAGGUGCCAUUCUUCAAUAGAAGCCGCAAGUAAAAUUUAAUUUUGGGCUCAGCCUUCACUUUCCAAACACUAUCCAACAGUGGUUGAGGGGAGUUUGCAGCACAGUGAAAUCCAUAUGCAAGGCAGCCGAAGCGACCAUCCGCUGUUAGUAGCCAUCGAAUAUCAUACGGGCCCAUGGACAACUUAACAGACCGCACUUUGUCCCACAAAACAAUGAACUGACCUAGUUCGUCUUCACUAUUCAUCCUCAGGAGGUCACACAUCCAACCAUUUCAAAGUUUCUUUGACAGUAAUAUUCUUCUGCCAACCCGAAAGAGGCCAGGAGCAACCAAUGGUCCAUCCAAAAACCCACUUUAGCUGCAUCACCAAGCUCAAUGCGUGUGCAACAGUGCAAGCAGAGAACAUAGCUUUAUGCCUUUAUCAAUAAUUAUCACAGGGGGUAGGGCUGCCAGACCAAUGUCUCUUGGGUCAUUCCAAUGGUGCCAGAGCCAACGCAGGCGCAGUGCUCUACUAAAACAAGCAGUGUCCCUGAUGCCCAAAUCACCGACAUUCUUGGGGGAGCAAACAGAGCGCCAAUUCACGAGACAUUUCCUCCCCUUAGCCUCCUCAUCCACGUUCCAAAGAAAAUUUCUUGUCCAUUCUCUUGGUUGUCCAUUUGCUUGGAGCAAAAACAGUGAGGAAAUAAGUGGCAGUGGCCGUGAGGAAAGCAUUAAUCAAUGUCAAUCUCCCAGCUCUAGCCAAUAGCUUUCCCGUGAUAUUCUGUUCUAUACUAUUUCAGGUUUUCAGUUCAUGCUCAACGUACUACAAUUCUGAUGUUCUAUAACUCCAUAUUUAUUUAUUGGCCCUCAAGAUCCCAGUCAAUUUUAUAUGUAGUUACCAUCUUCAACUGUUACCAGUCCAAUUCUAAAUUCUUGUAGCCAAGUCAGCAAUCCAACAUUUUCCAGUGCACUUCUCGUCACCGCCAACUUCACGCACUAGCAUAUUUAGAACAAGAAAUUACACUAAUGCAUAACAUAAGAGCAAAAUCGAUCAUUUACUGUAAAAAUCAUGAGGGGCUAAUGACACUCAGUAUGACAGGAAAGGCACUAGGUGAUAUACUUGAUUUAUGGGAAAAUAAAUGAAUGCCCUAGGUAAUAUACUUGAUUUAGCAGAAAAUCAACACAGAUGUCGUCACUUAGCAUAUCCACAUAUGCAUAUGUAGAAGCAUUGCCAGAAGCCCAGAACCGAACACAGUUUAUAAAAGAGAACAUGGGUAAAAAAAGUACCUCUGGUGGCAUGGUGUCUUGAAGAUCGUUUCUUUUGUAAAGAUCCUCAAAUUUCUUAUGUACCAGCAGAUUUUGUAUUGGCUUGAACAGGCAAAAUGGAUCAAAAAAUGAAGCCACUUUCUCGUGAAGGACACUCCUUCCCAAAAAACAUGUGGUUCAGGACUGAUAACAUGAAGGUGUCUCCUGCCUUCCUAGUUGAACCCAGGUUGUGCUUCAGAAGUUAGUUCCGAAUAACAGCAACCAAACACAAUGCAAAGCCAUCUUCCAAAUAAUUAAAUUUUAAGGACAUUUAGAUAACACAGACGUGACCAUGAGCAAUCAAUACAAACCACAGAUAAAUAUGGUAGAAAAGUCCCUUAACAGUGACAAAUGUUCGUAUUUCCGCCUAGUACAUGUCUAACAAAACGCCAAGUGCACUAAUCUUCUUUAAUUAUGCCAAAAAAUUAAGUCAACAAAUUUGGUAUAACAAGCCAGCAUAAUAUAUAAUAACUUAGUUCGCUACUCAUUACUUAUAAUCCAUCAAGUUACUUAAUAACAAUAAUAUAACUUAGUGCACCACAUUAUUACAUCACGAUUAACAUAGUUCACUACAUCAUUGCAUCACUUCAUUACAUCAGAACUAAGUUUACCAAGUCACAGGAUUACAGCCUAAAGUCCAUCAAGGACCAGACAAUCCUGAAUCCGAACUUCCCAGCACCACACGUAAUUUUCUCUUCAUCUACACCAGUGCGGCGUGGAGUGAAAUCAAAGGUUCGUUCAGCACAAACACCAGCAGCCUCAUUAUUUAUGCGAAACAUCACAUUUCUUUCCAGACAGAUAGUAAUGACACUUCGCCGGAGUUUGAUAACUCCACUUUCAUCACUUGUAACCACG